GGAGUCUGGUCCACUAUGGAUAGCUAGUGUCAGAAUUGCAUUGCAAUAUUGUAGAUAUCAAAGGCAAGGAGAAAGCCACACUUCCCUGUGGCUGCCAUGGUAGCAAGAAUGCUGGAGAUGAAGAUGUCUCCAGGGACAAAGAAAACCUUUGGGGACCUCACUUGCCCCUUUAACCCAGACAUUAUCCCACCACUGCCAAUCUCAGGGGAGCUAGGCUUUAGUAAUAAAGUGUACUAAGUUUCCCCAUGCCUCAGUAGGUAUAAAUGAGGUCAUAGUUAUGACCUUAUUUCUCAAGUUCUUCCCUACAUCAGCCCUACAAAGUUCCUGUGCCCCAUGAGAAUUUCUGGGAGUGACUCAUAUGUACUCAUGAACAAGUGUAGCCAGCUCUUUCUGAGGCCUACUGGAUGGACACUGCUGCUUCUACUGGAUAAUACUGCAUUGGUUAUAUUCUGUGUGCCCCUUGUUUUAGUCAAUUUUGUGCUGUUAUAACAUAAUACCACAGACUGGAUAAUUUAUAAUGAACAGAAAUUUAUUUCUCACAAUUCAGGAAGCUGGAAAGUCCAAGAUCAGGGAGUCAGCAUCUGGUGAAGGCCUUCUUGCUGUGUCAUCCCAUGGUGGAACAUGGAAGGAAUGCUUGUCAAAUAGAGCACGCAGGGACCCUGAGCAACCAGGACUGUUGGCAUGACAAGCGGGCGAGCAGAGGAUGGGGGAGCCAGAAGAGAAGGUGCUGAAAGGAAGAGCUGAAAACAAGCUUGACCCAUCACUCAAAGUUGUCUAAUAGUCCUUGAAUCCAGAUGCCUCAUGGCCCUAGGAGGGCCAAACACACUCGGGGGUUGGAAAGGAAGCAUCACAGUGCUGGUGUCAGGAUACCUGAGUUCCAGCCUUGUCUUUGACAUUUAUGAGGUGUAUAAACUGGGAGGGUCACUUCAGCUCUCUGAGCCUUAGUUUUGUGUACUGUAAAGUGGGAGAAAUAAUACAUCCCUCACAAAGGCAUAAAUAGGCCAGGUGCGGUGGCUCACGCCUGUAAUCCCAGCACUUUGGGAGGCCAAAGCGGGUGGAUAACCUGAGGUCAGGAGCUCGAGACCAGCCUGGCCAACAUGGUGAAACCCCAUCUCUACUAAAAAUACAAAACCCCCAUCUCUACUAAAAAUACAAAAAUUAUCCAAGUGUGGUGACAGGCACCUGUAAUCCCAGCUACUUGGGAGGCUGACUACUCAGGAGAAUUGCUUGAACCUGGGAGGCGGAGGUUGCAGUGAGCCGAGAUCAUGCCACUGUACUCCAGCCUGGGUGACAGAGUAAGACUCCAUCUCAAAACAAACAAACAAACAAAAACAAGACAAAGGCAUAAACAAUAAACAAGAGAUUGAUUUUUUUGGUAACAGCUUUAUUGCAAUAUAAUUCAAGUACCAUAAAAUUCACCACCCCCGCUUUUUUUCGAAACAGGGUCUCACUCUGCUGUCACCCAGGCUGGAGUGCAGUGGCAUGAUCACUGCUCACUUCAGCCUCGACCUCCUAGGUUCAAGCGAUCCGCCCACCUUUGUCUCCCAAGUAGCUAGGACUAUAGGUGCACACCACCACACCCAGCUAAUUAUAAAAUUUUGUUGUGGAGACGGGCUCUCAUCACGUUGCCCACGCUGAUCACGAACCCCUGAGCUCAAACAAUCUUCCUGCCUCGGCCUUCCAAAGUGCUGGGAUUAUAGACAUGAGCCACCACACUGGGCCAAAAUUCACCCUUUUAAAGUAUGCAGUUCUGUUUUUUAGUGUAUUCACAGAGUUGUGCAACCAUCACCACUAUUUCAUAGUAGAACAUUUUUAUAACUCCUAAUGGAACCAAUACUGUUAUCAAUCACUCUCUAUCCUCCCUCCUGAGAGAUCGACUUUAAACUAUUUGGUGCUGUACCCAUUUUGCUUUGUAUAGAUAACAGUUGAUCAUUGCUACACAAUAGUCAGUAGUCUGCUCAUAAGUAAUAUCACAAUUAUUCUUCAGACUUAGUAAGAGCUGGCUUGAGAACUGUGUCAGGAGUAAGUUCGGCAGGGGAAUGGUAGAGAUGAAGAGGCUUAAAGAACAGUUUGUUUCUCUCUCAUAGAAUAAUCCAGGUAGCUCCAGGUAGCUCACAGCUCCAUCUUCCCUAGGGCACGAGCAACUUUCUCAGGAUACAAAAUGUCAGCUAGAGCUCCAGCUGUUAUAUCCUUGUUCCAGACAGCAGGAUGAAGACAGAGAUGAAGAUUGCAUGCCAUUGGCUUUUAAGGAAAGGUCUCAGAAGUUGCCACAAACACUUCUACUAACUUUUUUUUUUUUUGAGAUGGGGUCUUACCCUGUCACCUAGGCUGGAGUGCAGUGGCACGAUCUUGGCUCACUGUAACCUUCGCCUCCUGGGGUCAAGCAAUUCUCCUGCCUCAACCUCCCGAGUGUCUGGGAUUAUAGGCGCCCGCCACUACACCUGGCUAACUUUUUUUGUAUUUUUAGUACAGAUGGGGUUUCACCACGUUGGCCAGGCUGGUUUCAAACUCCUGACCUCAAAUGAUCCGCCUGCCUAAGCUUCCCAAAGUGUUAGGAUUACAGGCGUGAGCCACCAUGCCCAACCACUUCUACUAACAUCUAAUUGACCAGAACUCACUAGUAUGAUCAUAUCUAGCUGUAAGAAAGGCUGGGAAAUUUAGCCUUAUUCCAAAGAGCCAGUUAAAAAUUGGGGUUUGCAUUAUUAUGAAAGAAAAGACCAGGUAUUUGGUAGAUGUAUCAGUCAGCAAAUGCUAUAAUAAUUCUGCAUAACAAACCAUGAGCAUACAACAAUGAGCUUUUGUUUUCCUUGCCCUCAGGGCUGUGGGUUGGCUGGGAGGCUCUGCAUCAGGCUACAGGGCUGCCGGGCUUGGUGGAGGUAUACUGCACUCACACUAAUGGAGGGCACUGCAAAAUCACAUAACAAAGGGUAUGAGUGUAAAAUUCUAACACCAGAAGCGUCUGCAGAAUGAUAAACAAUGAUUCAUUUAUACAGAGGACAACCAAGAUUGCCAGGAAAUUCAAUGUCUGCAGUCUUGGUCCCCGGAGACCUCCCAGGAACCUGCUGCUGCUGCUGUCCUACAAUUCAGCUCCCAGUGUAGCUUCCAGUUCUGAUGAUCCCACUUCCCCGGUUACAGAUUAAGCUAGUCCAGCCUCUCACAUGAGCUUUUUAGGCCACAGUCCCUAGUUUCAGCCUAACCAGACACCUGCAGCCUUUUCUCUAAGGUUUUGCCAAGACAAACAGAGUAGUUCAGGAUGCCUCUAAGGGAGAAGGAAAGUGGGAAAAAUCAUUUGGGAAAAAUUCAGAGUGCAGAAGCAGCCUGCCUGAAAAGUUGCUGGAACAGACAAAAAUAAAACAACCUGGGGAAAAUAAAACAAAACAAAACUCAGGCUGGACCUGGACAGAUAAACAAACAGGAUCCCGCACAGGAGUUCUUUAUUCUUUGUCUAAUUAGCAAGCUCCCAGGAAAAAAUUUUCUCCCUUUUUCAGUCAGAUACAUGGUGAGAACUUGCACACGGAGGAGGGGGGAUUACCUAAAACAAACUCACAGUAUACAAACAAGAGAAGCUGUGCUUUGUGCUUACCUAAAAACAUACCCACAGCUGCAUGAGAUAAGGGGCGUCGCACAGACAGCCUUACUGAUAAGAGAAGUUACUCAAACUGCUACAGAGAUGAGAGGGGUUUCUCAGCUGUAACCUGGCAAUCCACUCUGACUCCUCUCUCUGCUGCAGAGAGCUUUAUUUCUUUCACUUAUUAAACUUUCCCUCCAACACCAUGUUUGUGUCUGCGUUCCUAAUUUUCUUGGACAUAGGACAAAGGACCUGGGGUACCAGUUAAGACAAAGAGAAACUGCUACAUUAAGGUGGGUUGGUGAGACUGCAACACCUCUAUGUAGGGCCAGAAGCCAUUUUCCUCUGCCCCACUUCCCCGGGGGCCAGCCAGAGUCAGACCCAUUUUUCCCGUUCAAAUUCCCCAAACACAAAAGCUUCAUCAUGCCAUUUUCUAUUACAAUUGGGCUUGAAGGUACAUCUACAAGAGAGUGAAAGCCCAGGCAACUUGUCCCUUGAGUUACAAAGAAUUCCGUUUAUCUUUCCUGGGGUAAGACUAAGUCUACAGCAGUAAAAAUUCAGCACUCAGAUUGGUUUUCAAAGGCUGACCUUUCCAUUAUUUACAUUCUUAAUGAAUCAUCCUGCUUAAUUGUAAUCAGUGGAGCUUAAGGCAAAUUUCCAAAAGGUUUGGUCAAACUUUUGGUGUAAAUAAUCUCAGUGUAUCUAUUUCAACUUUACUUAGUCCGCUUCCAUUAGUAACAUGAAGAAGCAUUUUCUUGGGUACAACCCAAAGUUAGCACCAAUUAUGAAAUCUAUUGGUUAGUUCAGCAAAUUAAACAGUUACUUUUGUUGUUGUUUUUUGAGACAGGGUUUUGUUCUGUAGCCCAGGCUAGAGAGCAGUGGUGCCAUCUCAGCUCACUGCAACCUCUGCCUCCUGAGCUCAAGUGAUCUUCCCACCUCAGCCUUCCUAGUAGCAGGGACCAUAGGCACCUGCCACCAUGCCCCGCUAAUUUUUUUUUUUAUUUAUUUUUUGUAGAGAUGGGGUUUCUCCAUGUUGCCCAGGCUGGUCUCAAACUCCUGGCCUCAAGUGAUUCACCCGCUUCAGCCUCCUAAAGUGUUGGGAUUACAAGCAUAAGCCACUGCACCCAGCCAAAAUGGUUACUUUCAGUAACAGCUGUG
rnacentral:lncRNA from 1 species